UACGAAGGGGGCUAGCGUUGUUCGGAAUUACUGGGCGUAAAGCGUGCGCAGGCGGCUUCUCAAGUCAGGGGUGAAAGCCCAGAGCUCAACUCUGGAAUUGCCUUUGAGACUGAGUGGCUUGAGUACGAGAGAGGUGAGUGGAAUUCCCAGUGUAGAGGUGAAAUUCGUAGAUAUUGGGAAGAACACCGGUGGCGAAGGCGGCUCACUGGCUCGUAACUGACGCUCAUGCACGACAGUGUGGGGAUCAAACAGG
rnacentral:rRNA from 1 species